UAUUCUAUUUUGCUUAUACUUAUACUAUUGCCAUUUGAGCCCUGUGAUUGCAAUAACAUCCCACAUACAGCGGCUUUGUCCCAGGGUCCAGACCCUCUGUGGUGCACACAGUUGUUUGUAGGUUAAGAAGAGUAUGUAUAAAGAGGUAGUGAGGCCUUAAGAGAUAUGGCUAAGGAGAAGGGAGCCUUGUGGUCAUUCUAGAAAAAGAUCCUCCAUUUACUUAUCUGUCAGUCCUAGCUUGAAUGGGGGUCGAGAGACAGGGAUCUUUUGCUCUUAUUCCUUGAUAAGACUACCAAUGAAAUCCACAUGAGCUUUAUCCCUCAUAUCUUUUGGUCCAUCUUCAACAUACACAACUCUUCUCCAUCUUGACAUAUUUCUCUCUUGAUCCUAAACCCUAGUUACAAUCUCAUUUCCUUAUUGCCUUUCCCUGUAGAAUACCUUACUUACAUGGGUUGUCCCAGGUGAUCUGGUUCUCCUCCACUGGUUCCCUCUCUGGGCCCAGGAAUCUGGAUUCCAUCCCCACCAAGGUCACCAAUCUUGAUCUGUAAAAGAUCAUCUCACACUUUCUCCUUCCUUGACUUCCCAUCACCAAAAAUGUUAAACUUCCUUAGGACAGUUUAUUUUUUCUUGGCCUGUAGGACAUUUGGUGUUACGAUAAGUUUGGGGUUUUCAAAGAGCCCUGUAAAAACUAAUUAUUUCCUUCUAGGAAUCAAGUUUGCAAUUAGAUGAAGAGCUACCGAAGACCCACUCUAACUAUAUGAGUAAACUGGCUAGGAUUUGCCCAGUUACAAAUAGCUUCUUUUGACAGCACUUAGUCACUAUGUUUUUUCCACUUAUAUUACUCUACCUACAUUAAAGUGCAUAAUUCUAAAAAACAUGUGAGUACUCUUUUCCACUGAAUUUUAACUUUGUCAUUCACAACUUAGUAAAGUCUUUAUUGUAAGGUGACCCAAUGUCCCAGUUUACACAAGACUGAGGAGUUUCCCAGGAUGGGAAACAUUCUGUGCUUAAAAGCAGGGCAAUCCUAGGAAACUAGUACAGUCAGUUCACCUACUUGGUCUUUAAAAAGAGCCCUUUAUCUUGCUCUUCUUUCAUCAUUCAGGAGUUCAGAAAGCACAGUUUCCCAAAAGUGCGACAUUUUACUUGGUUCAGCUUUAGACUCAAUAUAGUUCCCGAUUUUAUUUACUUAGCUGCUCUCAACUUAGAAGAAAAGGCAUGUGGCUGGAUGUUCUAACUAACAAUGGAGUAUGGAAACUACAUGUCUAGUCUUGAAAGGAUAUUUGGCAAUCCCUUAACCCUGCAAUGCAAAGAGACUCAGGGCUGGGUUAUACCACAUGAGAAAAUGAAUUUGAACUCUCCUUGAAGUCUGGAAGUGUUGAGUGUGUGUACUGCUUGAUCACAAAGGGGAGGACUUUCCACAUUUUUCUCUUGUAAUUUUAGAUCCAGCCAAUGUUUUACUUUAAAUAAACGGCAACAAUGCUCCCUUCUCUCCAACAAAAUGUAACUAAGAGAAAAUCUCCCCCUUUUUGGCUCAGCUUUACAAAAGUAGAGGAAAUCAAGGGGAAAACAGAGAAAAAGCAGGGAUAUCUCUCUAAAAUGUUUUAGACUUAUUUCAAAGAAGAAGAUUAGAAAUAAACAUUAAAAAUUGACAUCAACAAACUGGCUGUGGUGGUACAUACCUGUAAUCCCAGGUACUUGGGAGACUGAGGCAGGUGAAUCACCAGUUCAAGCCUGGACAAUUUAGUGAGACAGUAUGUCAAAAGAAAAAAAGAAGAAAGAAAAAGGGGUUGGAGUUGUAGCACAGGAUAGAGCACUUACCUAGCAGGUAUGAAUCCCUACAUUUGAUCCCCAGUGCAAAAACAAAAACAAAUGAACAAACAAACAAAAAAUUGACAUCAAAUAUGCCCAUGAAUACUGUGGCACUAUUUGUAAUACUUAAGAUGUGAAAUCAACUUAGGUGCCCAUUAACAAGGGAAUGGAUAAAUAAAAUGUGGAAUAUAUAAAUAAUGGAAGAUUAUUCAGACAUAAUUAAUGAAAUCUUAUCAUUUAUAGUAAAAAUGAGUCAAACCAGAAGACAUUGUGUUAAUGAAAUACACCAUACACAGAAAAACAAAUACUGCAUGUUAUCUCUCAUAUGCAGAAUAAAAAAUUUUUUAAAAAAGUUGAUGUGGAUAUAGAAGAGUGAUUACUAGAGAUUGGGAAGGAAGAAAUGUGGGGAAGAGAGUGGAUUAAGGGAGGCUGGAUCUGAUCAGUGUAUACUGUAUGCAUGUGUUAAACUAUCACACUGAACUCCAUUAAUAGGUACAAUUAAUACAUGGCAAUCAAAAAUAAUAAAAUAUUUUAAAAAUCAACAUUGAACAAUUUAGCCAAAGAGGGUCUUAUGAGUUGUGUCAUCUGAACUUCUGCUAUUGGGCUCUGAGAAUAAUUCACCUCUCAAUAACUGAGAUGUAUUAAAUGGUGUUCUGUGUACCCAAACACUGUGCUGGGUGCUAUCCAUGUAGUAUUUCAUUUAAUCUUUACAAUCUCUCUGAACAGUGGAUUCCAUUAUUAUCCUCAUUUUAGAAAUAGAAAAAAAAAAUGAAGGUGAACUAGUGAAUAGCAGAAUCCAAAACUCAAAACAAGCAGAGUGCAAAAUUCAUGCAUUUGGUCCCCAUGCUAUUUGAUGAGGGGUUAGAAAUGUGGAGGGGACAUGUUCUAAGCUCACUGGAAGCAGACUGAGUAUUUUAAGCCUAAAGCACUGGUACCAGAUGGAAAGCAGGACUGACACCCAUUCUUCAGGAGAAAUUAAAUUUUGCUCAAAAUCAAAGAAUGUCAUAUUGAGCAAUCAAAAGCUCUAAACACACAGUAUUCCCGAAGUACAAGAUCAGAAUUUAACAUCUAUUAUUAAAUGUUACUGCAGGGAGCCAACAGAAUUUCUAUGCCAGUUAUUGUUUGAUCUGUUUUAGGCAAAUGGGUAUAAUACCAGUGUCUACAAAAUCCAUACUUCAAUUAGAAGGCAUUUCACACUAUUUUGAUAAGGGCAUUAAAAAAAAAAAAAAAAAAAAGACUACUUUAUCAAGGUGAAAAUAAGGACAAAGAAUCUGACAUUUUUUGUUUUGAUUUUUUAAAAGUUAUUUAAGCAUGCCCCACCUUCUUCCCAAAAUUAAGUAAAUCUGCCUUUGAAGCAUCAUCUGAUUUGAUUCGAAUACAAGCCAGUUCCUAGCAGCAAUGGUUAAGAGCCUGAGAGUAGUCACGUAAAUACAGAGUGUUAAAAAAAAAAAAAUGUGUUCAAGUCUCCUCCAGACAGCAAAAGCAAAAUUGUACCAAUAUGUCUGUUGUUGUUUUUUUUUUUUUUUUCCCUUUCCCUUGUUCUACUGAAAACAAAUUUAUCUUGGAAUGUGUAGCAUUAAAUUUAACGUGGGAUCUCUUUGUGUUUCCAGGUCAAGUGGGAACACAUAGGCUCCCUACUGAGGAAAAUAAACUACAAUGUAUUUUUAGCACCCAUUGAAAGUACUUUCAGCUGAAGAUAUUCUGCAGGAGCCAGUUUAUUUCACUGAAGGCCAAAGGAUUUGCCACAAUGUCACCUACAAUUCCAGAACUUUCUCCUAGGCUGUGUAAAUAUGCUCCCACCCCACCCAUUCUACUGCACACCAUUCUCAGUCCAAAUCCUGGAGCAAAUAUUCUCGUUCUGAGGAAAAAAAAGAAAAGAAAGAAAGAAAACCAAUCCAGUGAAAGAUAAAUGGAAAACAUCUGUGAAAUAGUUACGACAAAUGGAACUAACUAUCUCAUACUUGGCACUUUGAAAUGAAGCACAUCCAGACAAGGGAAUAGAGUGAAUGUGUGGCAGAGGGGGUGCCCUCCACUUUGUGCCCAGUGAUGAUGAUAAGCCACAGACAGACCUCCCCCCCACCAAGGUCAGGCUGCUUGAAAGGUACCUCUAUGGUGUAUGGUGCUAUUAUGGUUUGGAUGUAAGGUGUGUCUCCCCCUCCCCCCAGCUCAUGUGUGAGCUAAUGCAAGAAGGUUUGGAGAAGAGAUGAUUGGGUUAUGAGAAGCUUAACUCAAUCAGCCAACUGAUUUUUUGAUGGGAUUAACUGGUGGUGCCUGAAGGUGGGUAGGGCGUGGCUAGAGGAGGUGGGUCCCUGGAGGUGUGGCUUUGUGGUAUAUAUUUUGUAUCUAGCAAUGGAGUCUCUGCUCUCUGAUCAUCAUGUGAGCUGCUUCCCUCCGCCACUCUCUUCCACCAUAAUGUUCUGCCUCACUUGGAGCCCCAGUGAAUGGAGCAGGCUGGUCAUGGACUGAGACCUCUGAAACUGUGAGCCCCCAAAUAAACUUUUCUUCCUCUAAAAUUGUUCUUGUCAGGUCUUUUCAUCACAGCAGUGAAAAAGCUGACAAAAACAUGUACAAAGCCACUAAAGGCAGCACAUUCCACAGAUACCGCCAUGUUCAAGGGCAUGCAGCGAAAGAAGCUCGGGUGGUUUUCACUUGCACCCAUUCUCUCCAAAGGUUGUGUGUGUGUGCAUGAGCUCUGUAGACCUCGUAGUGGAGUUUUAGUGACUAAUCUGAAACUUGGUGACAGUGAGACAAACAGCUGAGGACUUUACUUUUGUCGGCACAGUUUUUUAAAAAUAUUUCUCAUUUUUAAAAGGAGAUAUACUUGACUCUUAGCUUUUAAAUAAAUGACACAGGCAUACGGGGCUCUCCUUUUUGAACACUCAUUCCCCCACAAUUUUAAAGUCUAUAAUGGCAAAAUAUAACACAUAUCAUAAAGCAUAGCACCAAAAAUGUAAAGUCUUCCCAAAGAACCGAUUAUUAUUGUUUUCCUGAAACUGUGCCAGUCAGCUUUCUGUUACUGUAACAAAUACCUGGGAUAAACAACUUAUAAAAAGAAAAGAUUUAUUUUGGCUCAAGCUUUGAAGAUUUAGUCCAUGACCAAUUAGCCCUGUUGUUUUGGGCCUGUGGCAACCCAUCAUAGUAGGAGCACAUGACAGAGCAAUCUGUUUACCUCUUACCCAAGAAAUGAAAGAGAAAAAGAAGAAGGAGUUGGAAUCCCAAUACACCCUUCAAGGGCAUGUUCUGAUGACUAACCCUCUCACUAGGCUUUACCUCUUAAAAGUUCCACCACCUCCCAAUAGCACCAAGCUAAUGACGACGCUUUUAACACAGAGGCCUAUGGUGGAAAUUCCACAUCUAGACUAUAGUGAAAGCCAUGUAUUUGUUCAAGAAUAUGAAGCCAAAUUUACCAUUAAUGGUCUUCCUAACACUACUCUUGUAGCAAAAAAAGCCUUUCUAUAUAUUCUUCUGUAAAACAGAACCAAAUACCCUAUUUCCCUAUCUACUCUCAGCUCCAUCCUAUGAAUUGGUGAAGUUCCUUGAAAUAAUGCCAUGUAAACAUGAGGGAUUAUGGGUUGUCACAAUGUCAUAUCAUGGUUGGUCAUAGCUUUAUUAUUAAUCCAACAAAUAUUUUUGUCAGAUCCUGUUUAAGAUGUCUGAAUACAAGAUAACUUGAGAAGACUUCAUUGUUCUCUUCACUGACUUAUUUAUCUGCUAUUGAUUAAGAUAGUCUUCAAAAGCUAUGGUCUGCUAGUAAGUUAAAAAGAAACUAUUUAGAAAUUCUCAAAGCAGAUCUGAUGGAGGUCUAGAUAAAGCAGACAACAGGCACCUCAGUUUGAUUCCUUUGUUCCCUAACUACGUUGGUUGUUCAGGUAUUAAAGAACAAUUUGAGGAAGCCCUUCCCUUCCUUUAGGGGAAUAUUGUUCCAUGGUCUUAAAUACAGUCAUAUUAACAUUUAAUUUAUAUUUGCAAAAUCACAUUUGGAAUAUUAAGUUUAUGUAUUAAGGAUUUGUGUUUUGU
rnacentral:lncRNA from 1 species